rnacentral:rRNA from 1 species
GACGAACGCUGGCGGCGUGCCUAAUACAUGCAAGUUGAGCGCUGAAGGUUGGUACUUGUACCAACUGGAUGAGCAGCGAACGGGUGAGUAACGCGUGGUGAAUCUGCCUUUGAGCGGGGGACAACAUUUGGAAACGAAUGCUAAUACCGCAUAAAAACUUUAAACACAAGUUUUAAGUUUGAAAGAUGCAAUUGCAUCACUCAAAGAUGAUCCCGCGUUGUAUUAGCUAGUUGGUGAGGUAAAGGCUCACCAAGGCGAUGAUACAUAGCCGACCUGAGAGGGUGAUCGGACACAUUGGGACUGAGACACGGCCCAAACUACUGCGGGAGGCAGCCGUAGGGAACUCUCGGCAGUGGAAGCAAGGCUGAACGAGGAACGCCGCGUGAGAGACGGAGGUUUUCAGAUCGUAAAACUCUGUUGGGAGAGAAGAUCGUUGGUGAGAGUGGAAAGCGAAUCAAGUGACGGUAACUACACAGAAAGGGACGGCUAACUACGUG